rnacentral:rRNA from 1 species
UGGGGAAUUUUGGACAAUGGGCGAAAGCCUGAUCCAGCAAUGCCGCGUGUGUGAAGAAGGCCUUCGGGUUGUAAAGCACUUUUGUCCGGAAAGAAAUCCUUGGCUCUAAUACAGUCGGGGGAUGACGGUACCGGAAGAAUAAGCACCGGCUAACUACGUGCCAGCAGCCGCGGUAAUACGUAGGGUGCAAGCGUUAAUCGGAAUUACUGGGCGUAAAGCGUGCGCAGGCGGUUUGCUAAGACCGAUGUGAAAUCCCCGGGCUCAACCUGGGAACUGCAUUGGUGACUGGCAGGCUAGAGUAUGGCAGAGGGGGGUAGGAAUUCCACGUGUAGCAGUGAAAUGCGUAGAGAUGUGGAGGAAUACCGAUGGCGAAGGCAGCCCCCUGGGCCAAUACUGACGCUCAUGCACGAAAGCGUGGGGAGCAAACAGGAUUAGAUACCCUGGUAGUCCACGCCCUAAACGAUGUCAACUAGUUGUUGGGGAUUCAUUUCCUUAGUAACGUAGCUAACGCGUGAAGUUGACCGCCUGGGGAGUACGGUCGCAAGAUUAAAACUCAAAUGAAUUGACGGGGUCAUAGCUGUUUCCU